rnacentral:sRNA from 1 species
AAUCGAAUUAAUAUUGAUUUAGUUACCAAUAUAUAUUUGAUAAAUUUUCAAAGAAUUUAAGAAAUCUGUAUUGUGUUCAAUUUUUUGGUUCCGUUUCUGGGUAGGUCGGCCCCGGGUCUUUCUUUUCCUGUUGUUCUGUUCCUGCCACGAGAAUGUCAAAUAACUUUGAAGACAGAAGUUAUCCUAUCGAUGCUGUAUUCAUGCCUGUUGAAAAUGCCACCUAAGAAAGGACGGAACUGUCGAGUAAGGAUUGGCCGGGCAGAGGCCUUUGGUGUCCACUCCAGUCAAGAAUUGGAGCCUCCAGGUAUUAGCUGUUAGCCGUCGGACUCAUUUAAAGGAUUUAGUUUGGUUUCUACGAGCUUCUUAU